rnacentral:rRNA from 1 species
AGCCAGACUCCUACGGGAGGCAGCAGUGGGGGAUAUUGCACAAUGGGGGGAACCCUGAUGCAGCGACGCCGCGUGGGUGAAGGAGUGCUUCGGCAUGUAAAGCCCUAUCGGCAGGGAAGAAGCAAGACGGUACCUGACUAAGAAGCCCCGGCUAACUACGUGCCAGCAGCCGCGGUAAUACGUAGGGGGCGAGCGUUAUCCGGAUUCACUGGGUGUAAAGGGAGCGUAGACGGCCAUGCAAGCCAGGGGUGAAAACCCGGGGCUCAACCCCGGGACUGCAUUGGAAACUGUCAGGCUAGAGUGUCGGAGAGGCAAGUGGAAUUCCUAGUGUAGCGGUGAAAUGCGUAGAUAUUAGGAGGAACACCAGUGGCGAAGGCGGCUUGCUGGACGAUGACUGACGUUGAGGCUCGAAAGCGUGGGGAGCAAACAGGAUUAGAUACCCCCGUAC